UACGUAGGGGGCAAGCGUUGUCCGGAAUCAUUGGGCGUAAAGCGCGCGUAGGCGGCCCGGUAAGUCCGCUCUGAAAGUCCAGGGCUUAACCCUGGAAAGCGGGUGGAUACUGCCGGGCUUGAGGAUGGAAGAGGGUCGCGGAAUUCCCAGUGUAGAGGUGAAAUUCGUAGAUAUUGGGAAGAACACCGGUGGCGAAGGCGGCGACCUGGUCCAUUACUGACGCUGAGGCGCGACAGCGUGGGGAGCAAACAGG
rnacentral:rRNA from 1 species